CUGGUCCCUGAGAAGCAUGGCGGCUUCUUCGAGUGGUGAGAAGGAGAAGGAGUGGCUAGGAGGCAGCUCGGCAUCAGCAGGCAGUAACAGUACACGGGAGCAGCUGUUUUCUGCGCUUGAAGAUCUGGAGGUCUUGUCAAGGGAACUUAUAGAAAUGCUGGCAAUUUCAAGAAACCAAAAGCUGUCACAGGCUGGGGAGGAAAACCAGGUCCUUGAGUUGUUAAUUCACCGAGAUGGGGAAUUUCAGGAACUAAUGAAAUUGGCACUUAAUCAGGGAAAAAUCCAUCAUGAAAUGCAAGUUUUAGAAAAAGAAGUAGAGAAGAGAGAUAGUGAUAUUCAGCAACUACAGAAACAGGUAAAGGAAGCAGAACAAAUACUGGCAACUGCUGUUUAUCAAGCAAAAGAGAAACUCAAGUCAAUAGAAAAAGCAAGAAAAGGUGCUAUCUCCUCUGAAGAAAUAAUUAAGUAUGCUCAUAGAAUUAGUGCAAGUAAUGCUGUUUGUGCCCCACUGACCUGGGUUCCAGGAGACCCACGAAGACCAUACCCAACUGAUUUAGAGAUGAGAAGUGGAUUGUUGGGUCAGAUGAACAAUCCUUCCACAAAUGGUGUGAAUGGUCAUUUACCAGAGGAUGCCCUUGCUGCUGGUAGACUACCAGAUGUGCUUGCUCCACAGUAUCCAUGGCAAUCAAAUGAUAUGUCAAUGAACAUGUUACCACCAAACCACAGUAACGACUUUUUGUUGGAACCUCCUGGGCAUAAUAAGGAAAAUGAAGAUGACGUAGAGGUUAUGUCAACGGACUCCUCAAGCAGUAGUAGUGACUCUGAUUAAAAGCAUGUGAGACAGCUUGCAGAACCGAAGAGUACAGAAUUCUGUUUCUUAUACAUUAGCAAGGAGAUAGAUGCCUUAUGCAGAGGCGUAAGGACCAGCCAUAUAAAUACUGGCUGUGAUGGAAUUGCACAGCUCAUGAGAAGUCAAAAUGGACUUCCCUUUUAAAGCCCCAAAUCAUGGUUUUAGUUUUAAUCCACCAGGCAUAUGUUAGGGGAUUAGUCAGAAUUUACUUUUGGAAAGAAAGAGUAUUUAGUUCUGUUCCUGUUAUGAUGUAUUUGUGCAUAGUUCUGGAAAGAAGAUUUGAGGGACAUGACCCCUACACAUAUCAUUAAUGGGCUUCCGAGAAUUAUUUUUUUAGAAUAGGGCAGUAGAUUACUGAAUGUGUGUCAUAUUUGAAAGUGAAAUCUCUUGGCUUCUGUUGCAGAAACAGAACAGUUUGUACUGUUUGUAAUUGUAAUUUUUGUAAAUAAAUUGCUUCUGUUUGUAUAUUU